UCCGGCUUAUCACCGGCAGUUUCCUCAGAGUUCUCAGCUUGACCUGUUAGCAACAGAGGACGAGGGUUGCGCUCGUUGCGGGACUUAACCCAACAUCUCACGACACGAGCUGACGACAGCCAUGCAGCACCUGUGCAUCUCCCACCCGAAGUGAAGAGACCCUUUUCGGGGUCUCAUAGAGAGCAUGUCAAAUCCUGGUAAGGUUCUUCGCGUUGCCUCGAAUUAAACCACAUGUUCCACCGCUUGUGCGGGUCCCCGUCAAUUCCUUUGAGUUUUAAUCUUGCGACCGUACUCCCCAGGCGGGAUGUUUAACGCGUUAGCUACGCCACUGAGGGGUAACCCCCCAACGGCUAACAUCCAUCGUUUACAGCGCGGACUAC
rnacentral:misc_RNA from 1 species